AUUGAAACUAAUAGCUGAGGGAAAAUUACAUAUACUUGAAGCCACAACAUUUUUCAAGAAAGACCUAAUAUAAAAUACCCUGCCUGUGUAACACCGACAGACCCAGUCAUCGGAGGGCAGGAUUGAACCUGGGAUCUCUGGAGCCUAGUGCGUGAGCUUCUACUACGUGCCCUAAAAGGGUUCCCUGGUGCUGCAGGCUGUCAAUCCACUUACAAGGCUCAAAAGAACACUGGACCUUCCAUUGGCGUAAAGCGACAUAACUCCAGCGACUUCAUUGCGGCUAUGCUGACGUACACCAGCUGAGCAUAUGACCUAUGAGCUGAGGACUGGGGUCACUCAAGUGUGUGGAACUUUCCUAGCCCUGACUCUCAAGGCAGCAAACCCGAGGAGCUGGGGAUUUGCAGCUUGCAAGAGUUCCAAUAAUGCUAGGACAGAGAUAUUGAUAAACUGUCGGUGAAGAGCUCACUGGAAACCUGGAUUCACAGAAAUUAUCACCAUUACCUGAAGCUGAGAAGGACGCAUACUGAGGUGAUCCCUGACCGGCUAUCCUCAUUUCACCAUCUCCCAUUGUAUCCUAUCUGUUAAGAACAAAGAAUUUAAUCUGG